GUGAAUCCGCGUUGGGGACAUUGAUAGGUGGGUAGUUUGACUGGGGCGGUCGCCUCCUAAACAGUAACGGAGGCGCACAAAGGUCCACUCAGCACGGUCGGCAAUCGUGCGAAGAGCGUAAGAGUAUAAGUGGGCUUUACUGCGAGACCUACAAGUCGAACAGUUGCGAAAGCAGGUUCUAGUGAUCCGGUGGUUCCGCGUGGAAGGGCCAUCGCUCAUCGAAUAAAAGGUACGCCGGGGAUAACAGGCUUAUCUCCCCCAAGAGUCCAUAUCGACGGGGAGGUUUGGCACCUCGAUGUCGG
rnacentral:rRNA from 1 species